AACGAACGCUGGCGGCAUGCCUAACACAUGCAUGUCGAACGAGACCUUCGGGUCUAGUGGCGCACGGGUGCGUAACGCGUGGGAAUCUGCCCUCGGGUGCGGAAUAACAGUUAGAAAUGACUGCUAAUACCGCAUAAUGACUCCGGUCCAAAGAUUUAUCGCCCAGGGAUGAGCCCGCGUCGGAUUAGCUAGUUGGUAGGGUAAAAGCCUACCAAGGCAACGAUCCGUAGCUGGUCUGAGAGGAUGAUCAGCCACACUGGGACUGAGACACGGCCCAGACUCCUACGGGAGGCAGCAGUGGGGAAUAUUGGACAAUGGGCGAAAGCCUGAUCCAGCAAUGCCGCGUAAGUGAUGAAGGCCUUAGGGUUGUAAAGCUCUUUUACCCGGGAUGAUAAUGACAGUACCGGGAGAAUAAGCCCCGGCUAACUCCGUGCCAGCCGCCGCCGUAAAAC
rnacentral:rRNA from 1 species